AGAGUUUGAUCCUGGCUCAGGGUUAACGCUGGCGGUAUGUAUAAUACAUGCAAGUCGAGCGAGGCUUCGAGCCGAGCGGCGAACGGCUGAGUAACACGUUGGUACCUGCCUCAAACUCAGGGAUAACAUCUAGAAAUAGAUGCUAAUACCGGAUAGUCCCGAAAGGGUAAAGCUUUUGCGGUUUGAGAGGGGCCUGCGGCCUAUCAGCUUGUUGGUGAGGUAAUAGCUCACCAAGGCAAUGACGGGUAGCUGGUCUGAGAGGAUGACCAGCCAGAAUGGAACUGAGACACGGUCCAUACUCCUACGGGAGGCAGCAGUAAAGAAUCUUUCGCAAUGGGGGAAACCCUGACGAAGCAAUACCGCGUGGGUGAUGACGGUCGUAAGAUUGUAAAGCCCUUUUCUGAGGGAAGAAUUCUGACGGUACCUCAGGAAUAAGCACCGGCUAACUCCGUGCCAGCAGCCGCGGUAAUACGGAGGGUGCAAGCGUUACCCGGAAUUAUUGGGCGUAAAGCGUCCGCAGGCGGUUUUUUAAGUUAAGUAUUAAAUCUUGGAGCCCAACUUCGAGGCUGUGCUUAAAACUGAAAAACUAGAGUCAUUCAGAGGUGCGUGGAAUUCUGUGUGUAGGGGUAAAAUCCGUAGAUACACAGAGGAACACCAAAAGCGAAGGCAGCGCACUGGAAAUGUACUGACGCUCAUGGACGAAAGCGUGGGGAGCGAACGGGAUUAGAUACCCCGGUAGUCCACGCCGUAAACGAUGGAUACUCGGUGUCAGGGGACUCGACCCCUCUGGUGCCCAAGCUAACGCAUUAAGUAUCCCGCCUGGGGAGUACGGUCGCAAGAUUAAAACUCAAAGGAAUAGACGGGGACCCACACAAGCGGUGGAGCAUCUGGCUUAAUUCGAUAAUGAGCGAGGAACCUCACCUAGGCUUGACAUCCCGAGAAUUCUUUAGAAAUAGAGAAGUGCCUUAUGGAACUCGGUGACAGGUGCUGCAUGGUUGUCGUCAGCUCGUGCCUUGAGGUGUUCGGUUAAGUCCGUGAACGAGCGCAACCCAUGUCCUGUGUUGUUUUUUCACAGGAGACUGCCGAUUCAAAGUCGGAGGAAGGUAUGGACGACGUCAAAUCAGCAUGGCCCUUAUGCCUAGGGCUGCACAGGUGCUACAAUGGCCAAUACAAUAGGUAGCAAUAUCGCAAGAUGGAGCCAAUCCUUAAAGUUGGUCUAAGUUCGGAUUGAGGGCUGCAAUUUGCCCUCAUGAAGUUGGAAUCGCUAGUAACCGUGAAUCAGCAAUAUCACGGUGAAUAUGUUCCUGGGUCUUGUACUCACCGCCCGUCACACUACGGAAGGUGGAGGCGCCCGAAGUACCCUUAGCUUUGAGCGGGGUCCUAAGGUGAAAUCACUGACUGGAGUGAAGUCGUAACAAGGUAUCCGUAGGAGAACCUGCGGAUG
rnacentral:rRNA from 1 species